UACGGGGGGGGCAAGCGUUGUUCGGAAUUACUGGGCGUAAAGGGCUCGUAGGUGGCCAACUAAGUCGGACGUGAAAUCCCUCAGCUUAACUGGGGAACUGCGUCCGAUACUGGAUGGCUCGAGUUUGGGAGAGGGAUGCGGAAUUCCAGGUGUAGCGGUGAAAUGCGUAGAUAUCUGGAGGAACACCGGUGGCGAAGGCGGCUCUCUGGGACGGUACUGACGCUGAGACGCGAAAGCGUGGGGAGCGAACAGG
rnacentral:rRNA from 1 species